UUAGAGUUUGAUCCUGGCUCAGGAUGAACGCCUGCGGCAGGCUUAACACAUGCAAGUCGAGGGGCAGCGAGAUCAGUGCUUGCACUGAUUGUCGGCGACCGGCGCACGGGUGCGUAACGCGUAUGCAACCUACCCAUUACAGGGGGAUAACACUGAGAAAUCGGUACUAAUACCCCAUAACAUCCAGGGAGGCAUCUUCUUGGGUUGAAAACUCCGGUGGUAAUGGAUGGGCAUGCGUUGUAUUAGUUAGUUGGUGGGGUAACGGCUCACCAAGACAACGAUACAUAGGGGGACUGAGAGGUUAACCCCCCACAUUGGUACUGAGACACGGACCAAACUCCUACGGGAGGCAGCAGUGAGGAAUAUUGGUCAAUGGACGCAAGUCUGAACCAGCCAUGCCGCGUGCAGGAAGACGGCUCUAUGAGUUGUAAACUGCUUUUGUACGAGGGUAAACGCAGAUACGCGUAUCUGUCUGAAAGUAUCGUACGAAUAAGGAUCGGCUAACUCCGUGCCAGCAGCCGCGGUAAUACGGAGGAUUCAAGCGUUAUCCGGAUUUAUUGGGUUUAAAGGGUGCGUAGGCGGUCGGAUAAGUUAGAGGUGAAAUCCCGGGGCUCAACUUCGGAAUUGCCUCUGAUACUGUUCGGCUAGAGAGUAGUUGCGGUAGGCGGAAUGUAUGGCGUAGCGGUGAAAUGCUUAGAGAUCAUACAGAACACCGAUUGCGAAGGCAGCUUACCAAGCUACUUCUGACGUUGAGGCACGAAAGCGUGGGGAGCAAACAGGAUUAGAUACCCUGGUAGUCCACGCAGUAAACGAUGAUAACUCCGUUGUCGGCGAUACAGUGUCGGGGACUAA
rnacentral:rRNA from 1 species